CUUGCACAGAAAAGGCAGAGCUUAUUUUCAAAAAAUCCCUGGAAACCUGGGACUUUAAAGGACAAAACCAGAAAAAACCCAAAUCCAACAAAACCAAAUAUUUGUGGUUCUUCAAAGGUGCAGGCUCAAAAGAAACCGCUUCAAGAGCAGAGGAGUCUGCUAGGCUCUUUGCUGCUCUCAGCUGCCGUGGUAUUAGCUGGCAUGCCAUAUAAAUUGUACCCUGUGCCUCCCUCCAGGACCUGUUUCCAAAAGGUUGCCCCAGUUUUGCAGUAUUGCACAGAGCUUCCUCUCCAAAGGUUCAUCUACUUCAAGAGCUUUACAAAACUGAUAAUGUUUUGCAGGUGUCUUUUGGAUUCUGAAGCUCCUGGGGUCAUGUUUUCAAGCCUCUCUUCACAACAAUGCAACGCUCUUGCAGAAAAGACAAAUGUCACUCUGAGAUAUAUUAGCAGGGAUGCUGGCUAUAAGGCAAUAGAGGUAAUUAUUCUGCUCUGCUUGGCACUGGUGCAACCUCAGAUAAAGUAUUGCAUCCAGAUUUGAGUGCUGCAUUUUAUGAUAACUGCGACAAGAUGAUAAGGAGUUGAGAAAACAUGAACCUCUGAGAAAGGUUAAGAGAACUGGGAUUGCUUAGCAGACAGAAGGAACAUGUUAACACUUUGCCAACAUGUAAAAUAUAUUCAGAAGAAAUCAGUUUUACCCUUUCCCAUGAAGGGUAAGAUGUGAAGCCAUAGAAUUAUAGAGCCAUUAACCCAGCUCUGCCAAGUCCACCACCAAAGCAUGUGGCAAGUACCAGAUCUACAUAUCUUCUAAAUGCCUCCAGGGACUGUGACUCCACCACACUACUGGACAGCCUGGUCCCAUAUUUGACAAGCCUUUUGAUGAAGAGAUCUUUCUAAAUAUCCAAUUUAAACCUGGUGCAGCUUGAGGCCAUUUCCUCUCUAUCUGUUGCCUGGGAAAAGAGGCCAACCCCCACCUGGCCACAAUCUUCUUCCAGGCAGUUGUGGAGAGUGAUAAGGUCACCCCUGAGCCUCCUUUUCUGCAGGAUAAACACCCCCAGCCCCCUCAGCUGCUCCUCACAGCACUGGUGCUCCAGACCCUGCCCCAGCUCCAUUGCCCUUCUCUGCACUCACUCCAGCCCCUCAGUGCCUUUCUUGCACUCAGGGCCCAGAGCUGGACACGGCACUCGAGGUGUGGCCUCAGCAGUGCCCAGGACAGGGGGACAAUCCCUGCCCUGCUCCUGCUGCCCACACCAUUGCUGAUCCAGGCCAGGAUGCCAUUGGCCUUCUUGGCCCCCUGGGCACACCCUGGCUCAUGUUCAGCUGCUGGCAUCAGCAUCUUCCCUCACUGGUUCACACACCAGCUGUGUGAGGAAGUUGUCUUUCACACACUCCAGAAACUUCCUCGGUCGUUUCCUCCCCCCUGUGCUCAAUUUCCAGCAGAUAUGUGCUAAGUUGACCAUGUCACAAGAACAAGGGCCAGUGAUUGUUAAGACUUCUUGCAGCUCUUUAUGGAAUAUUACAUCAGCCUCUCCAAGUAAUUGCCUAAUUCACCACUCAAAUUUAAACUAAAUCUUAGGAGAAACAGUCUGAUUGCAAAUGCAGUAUAACACUGAAACCAACUUUUCAGAAGCAUGGAGUUCCCCUGCGAAGGAAAUUUUUAAGAACACAUCAGGCGAACUUCUGGGACACAUCAUGCAGUUUGUGAUGUAAUCCUGCUCCCCUGACCUGUGGGAAUAAUCUGCUGAUGUUUCUUCCCAUUUCUAGAAUGUUGUGGUUCUAAGAGUUGUAGGCAAGAAGCAAGAAUAGAAAGAGGAGAAGGAAGAAGAG